CACUGCGAUCUUAACAUUGUAAACAAUGCAUUCAAAUGUAAGUAGUGGCACUAUCUGGCAACAGGAUUUUGAAUGAUUUCAUUUGUUUCUUUAUUCUUACCUAGGUUUUCUUAAAUUUCUGUAAUGUGUACAUAUUUUUAGAAUUAGAAAAUAAAUUUUAAGGAAAAUAACCCUCAGCUGUAAUAGGCUUGUAAUUUAUAAUUUAUCUACAUAAGGGAAAGAGUGUGUGGUCACUUACCUGCCUGUGUCCCAAACUGGGUUUCUGGUGGAUGAAAUGUGCAUCUCAGGGACAUCAGUAUGUACACUAACUUAUUUGUUAUUUCACCAGACACGUGACUUCUGACACACAAUAUAGUCACAGUAGAGUUUCACAAAACACAUCACUAAAGUAUACUAAAAUAAGGUUAUUUACUUAGAAAUGAUACACUGUAUGUAAUCUAUAUAUAGAACAAAGCAAUCAAUGGUAAACUUAAUAAGGCAC
rnacentral:lncRNA from 1 species